UGUCGCACUCGGACGAGAAGCCCUACCAGU
rnacentral:piRNA from 1 species